AAAACGCUUUCGUUUUGGAGUACAAAAGCCACGGCGGCUUCGGGCUCCAAAACUUUCCUGCAUCUCUCUCUCUUUCGAUUCAAAGCCCUAAAUAAUCAGAAGAAGAAGAGAAAAGAUGGAGAUGGCUCCAAAGUGAAUCGGAAACUGUGUGUCCGAAUUGAGAUUAAUUUUUACUGUUUCUUGGAAAUCUAAUAAAGAUUGAUAGAGCUCCCUCCACCAGUGGAAGGAAGGUUGGUCUCUGUGAAGGUGUGAUAGAAAUAUUCUUUCGCGGACGCAUUUCCAACCACCUUUACUGUUGCGCCACUUGUUAGUGUUCCCGGCAAUAGUAAUUUUUUUGCUGAAAAAUCUUGCAUGAGAGAAAAUGGAUGGAAAGUUGGAAAUGUCCCUCGAUAAGCUUCCUGUCAAGCGCUUGGAAUCCAUCGAAGAAAAUGGCGUCGAACGUUUUCCUACUGAUAUUGGAUAUGAUGAGAAGCAAGUGUCGCUAAUUCGACGAAUAGAUUUUGCUUGGGCGUUGGAGAAAGAAGACAAGGAGAAGAAACAGAAGAAAAAGCAGAAGAAGAGCUCUAGAGAGAGCUCAUCUACAACAACACCAUGGCCAUGGCAAAACAUGGUGGAGAACUUGCACUUAGCUCAUCAAGAACUCACUGUCAUUGUUGAUCUUAUCCAUACGGUUGAAGCUAAUGAUGCUGUAACAGUAGCUGGGAUGACCAGGCCAAAGCCAUUACCCAAUGAGAUUCUGGCUGACCUUGCUGUAUCAACAGCAACGAAGCUACAGUGCUACCGGAAUCUUGGUAAAUAUUUUAAGCAGUCCGCCAAAGCUUUGGAACAGCAAGUUGCCAGGGAAGCAAGAUUUUAUGGUGCUUUAAUCAGAUUACAGCAGAACUGGAAAGUCAAACGGCAGCGUGUGGCAGCAAUUGCUCCUGGAAAUGAAGGCUUCAUGAUUGAUCUUUUUGAUAAUUCAUUAUAUGAUUCAGUUGCAGUAUUCCAUCCAUCUUCUCUGUCCACAAUUCGCAUUGAUCAUGACUCAGACGGCAUGCUAGCCAUAAAUUUACCUUCAAAAUCCUGUCAUUCUCUUCUUUUUGGUUUUCUCAGUGGGCAUUCUAAUGUUCCAAAGAAAUCCAAUAAGAUUAAAACCCAUGGCUCACUCAAGAAUCCAUCUAAAAAACCUGAGAAAGAAUCUUUAAGUGAUAAUGAAUGUGUGAAGGAUACACACUUACUGCUUCGUAAGGUUCAUCGAACCAUUUUUGAUGAACAGGUGUUUGAUAUGGUGAACCGUGGUGCAGUUAACCAGUCAUCUGGACUCAAUGUUACUGGAAUACAAGAAAAUUAUCUACAAUUGUGCAUAGGUCCUGGCAUUUCUAUAUUUAUAUCCAUUGUGCCAUCUGAUCAAGGUGAUCAAGCAAUUGAUAGUGAAGGCCCGGAGAACUUAGAACCUGCAGUUGUACCUUUAGACUCGUUUGACGGAGUGAAGUUAGCUGAAGAAAAGCACAACAGUCUUACUAAAAAGCCUAGUUUUCCUAACUGCAUUACUUAUGAAAUAUAUCUCAAACAGAUAUUUCAUGAGUAUGUAUUUGUAGAAGCAAAGGGUAGACCUUCUUUCACUAGUACUCGCAUGCCUGGUCAACCAGCAAAUGAUGGAUCUGGUCUUCUCAGUCAUUUCUGUUUGUCUCUCUCUCAUAGAAUAAUUUCGAACAAAGUUCUUAUGGAGUUGGAAAACGUGGUUUGCAGAGUGCCAUAUCUUCAUUUGAUAUCUCACCCCACUUGGCAUUCUCGGUCGUCUGCAUGGACAAUCUUUAUGAAGAUUCCUCCGUCCAUUCUCCAUGCAAGCUCUCAAGCCCGGACGCCGGACAUCCAAAACAUGAAGAAUGUUGUUAAAUCAGAGUUUUGGACUAAGAUUGUGGUACAUGAUGAUUGCAUUAACAUUGAAGCAGAAGGAGCUCCUAAUGUUGUUGGACUAUUUAAAGACAGUUCUGAUGAUAUAUGUUCUACCAACAAAUAUGACUGCAACUUGGAUGAUCUUCCUGUGAUAAUCCUGCAACAGGUUGCAAGCCAGGUUAUUCGCUGGCUUCAUGAGGAAGCACUUGCAGUGGGAAUAAAAGCAAAUCGUGACUUUUUGUGUUUGUCCUUUGAGUUGGACCAGGGUGAGAUUCUCAACCUCGUGGCACAUGUGGACCCAGAAGAUACUCAAGGAUGCAUCUCCUGGUGGUUGACAAUGGAAGACGGUUUUGCUGAGGAGAAGAAACUUCAUAUGAACAUUGCGGAUGGUGCCUCCGAAUAUAGGAAGUUCUUGGGAUAUUUACCGUUGGAUGUGCUAUACUCAACACUGAUGGAUUUAGUUAGUUUGUGUGGUGGUGGGAGCCAUUGAGAAAGCACGUCUUUCUUGACUGAUUAAUUGAAGAGACUUCAGAGACCACACUAUUGUGCAUAAUUUUGCUGCGGAAUCUAAUUUUGGACGCAUAACCAUGAACUGGUCAUUUUGAAGUCCAUACCUCGUAGAGCUAACAGGCAUGCUACCCAAGUGAGAAAUCCCACAAGCAACGGAGAAUGAGAUCCAUGUGGACAGCGGGAAAGAGGAGACAGAUUGACACCAAUGGUCUCUGAGCAUUGAUGCUCAAUUCUGGCGAUCUCUUGACAGGCGUUCCUUGGAGCGAAUGGAAUGGCUAAUCAGCAUCCGCUGAAUCUUGGUUUUUUUUUUUU